CAACUAAGUUAUCUUUGGUAACUUCUGAUUAUAGAUGAAUGGCAUAGAGGUGUUAGAAAACAUGAGACAAAAGUAAUCUUCUUGAUGCUAGCGUCUCAGGUAAUUAGCAGGUACUAGACAGUACCUGCUAAUUACUAUAUGUUUAGUAAAAUGAGAUAG
rnacentral:ncRNA from 19 species